CCUAUGUAAUUAAGCACCUCACAUGAAAAGUUGCUAGGGAUAACAUCGUUAUUAUUUUGAAAAGUUCAUAUUGAUAAAAUAGUUUGCGACCUCGAUGUAGAUUAAUGAACCUUUAAGGUGAAGAAACUUUGGAAGGUGGAUUGCUCCUCCAUUAAAUCAUUACAUGAUUUGAGUUCAGACCGGCGUAAGCCAGGUUGGU
rnacentral:ncRNA from 1 species